rnacentral:rRNA from 1 species
UACGUAGGGGGGCGAGCGUUGUCCGAAGUUACUGGGCGUAAAGCGCGCGUAGGCGGCUUUUUAAGUCUGGGGUGAAAGGUUCUGCGCUUAACGUGAACAGUGCCCUGGAGACUGGAAGGCUUGAGUGUGGGAGGGGGCAGUGGAAUUCCUGGUGUAGCGGUGAAAUGCGUAGAUAUCGGGAGGAACACCAGUGGCGAAGGCGACUACCUGGCCUGUUUCUUGACGCUGAGGCGCGAAAGCUAGGGGAGCAAACGGG